rnacentral:rRNA from 1 species
AACGAACGCUGGCGGCAUGCCUAACACAUGCAAGUCGAACGAGGCCUUCGAGUCUAGUGGCGCACGGGUGCGUAACGCGUGGGAACCUGCCCUUAGGUUCGGAAUAACUCCCCGAAAGGGGUGCUAAUACCGGAUAAUGUCUUCGGACCAAAGAUUUAUCGCCUUUGGAUGGGCCCGCGUUGGAUUAGCUAGUUGGUAGGGUAAAAGCCUACCAAGGCGACGAUCCAUAGCUGGUCUGAGAGGAUGAUCAGCCACACUGGGACUGAGACACGGCCCAGACUCCUACGGGAGGCAGCAGUGGGGAAUAUUGGACAAUGGGCGAAAGCCUGAUCCAGCAAUGCCGCGUGAGUGAUGAAGGCCUUAGGGUUGUAAAGCUCUUUUACCCGGGAUGAUAAUGACAGUACCGGGAGAAUAAGCUCCGGCUAACUCCGUG